rnacentral:lncRNA from 1 species
ACAGGAUGAUCGUCAGCCUUCCUCUUAAGUCCAAUGCAUAUGCGAUACAGAGAUGUCCAAGAAGAUAAGUUCGGUUGUCUUGGGACUAAAGGCACAGCACAAGGAAGGAGAACCUCUCUUGGCCCCAGUAUGGACUUCAAGCAUGCAGAACUUCUUACCUUACUCCCUAACCUGCUUUAGCCCACUGCCCUCCAUGCCAAGAAAACCAAAAAAUGCUUCACUGCAAUGUCUUUAUUGCAUCUGGAGCAAGUCUGCCAACCAUUCCAAGUCUUGGAGAAGGUUAAAAAAAGGAAAAAGCCCCAACAAUGUUCUCACCUUACCUUCCCCCCACCCCUUCCCCACAACCGCACAGCAAUGUCUGAACACAUUUGGUGACAAGAACAAUUUGCAAAAGUGGUCUAGAAAUUACAUUAUGAAUUGUUCCAACACAAGACACAGUUGGCUUCCUUCUGAGUCAGUUAUUUUUACAUAAACUACAUGAAAUUUUUUUAUUACAUCAAAGACAACAGAAUAGAUUCUUCACAAGAAACAACAAAGUACCAAAGUUACAUGCGAGGAUUUGUAAGGAAACAAGGGUGGUUGUCACAAAUGGCUAGAGCUAAGUCAAGAAUGAGCAGUUGGCAGCAAAGGACCAAGAAUGGACCUCUGGUGUAUGAUGUCAUGGAAACCUCAAGAAGAUCUAACUGGCAGUAGAGAUCAUCCUAGAAAUCAGAAAUUGUUCAAGUACAUUUUUUCUUUAAAGUUCUGGAGAAUGGGUGAAGCUGGUACCUUGCAGAGAAGGGACACAAGGAAGAUGCCACUCGGGCUUGAGUCUGAAGUAAAUGUAGAAAGCUUGUGUCUUAGUAGUGUGGAGCUGUAGGAUGUCUUCAUCUAUUGCUGGAGCAGUGACAAGAACAUAAACAACCUACCUAAGCUGAACUAUGCCAGGUGGAAACAGCUUUGUUUUGUUUUGUUUUUAUUUUAAAAACUGUAUCUAGCCAACCCAAAGCUGCUUUCCUGUUGGGGACUGGCUGAUCUGGGGACUGGCUGAUCUGCCUGCCCCUAUGGUCCUAAUCUGUCUCUAGCCUCUGCUUUAGUCAAUGAGUCUACAGUUAAGAUGCCAAAAGAGAUAGUCCCAGGGCCUAGAUCAUGAGACAGAACUUUGAGCUAGCCUUGAGAAGAAGACCAACACCUGCUUCCAGACUCCCUCAGACAGCAGGGCCACUCUUAGGAGACUGCUCCUCAUGCCAUUUCCACAGCUCAGGAUCAGAUAAAUCAUGUAGUAACUUGGCAGAAAAAUAAAAAGAUAGCUUCCGAUUUAUUAAAUGAUCCCUGGUCUCAGCUCCCACAAAGUGGUUACUCAAAGGGAAAGAAUAUAGGACUGAAAACCUGUCUUUCUCCAUUGUCCAGCCCAGGUGUAGAUGCUGCUUUCUCCUGCAUAUCUUCCAUGUCUGCCUACAAGGUAAAGACAUUAUUCAACACUAAAGCUGUAUAUUUUAUCAUUUUGACUUACUUGGAAGAGAUUUCUUUAAAAAGGCGUUCAGGACAUACUAAAAUUUUAGUGCUGGAUCAGAGGGAUUCCUCACACCUAAUCUUGAGCAUAUAACUGCUUCAGCAAGUUCAACAUCAGUACAAAGUCACAGGUAUUCCAAUCAACAAAUAGCCUGGCAUUACUUGGUAAACUGAGCAAGAUUUUAAGCUGGCAAUUUUGAAAAAGGCCUUACAGAGUGGCUGAGGGUGGUCAAUCUCCUCUCUUUCACACUGGAGCAUGAACAAGAAAAAGCCAUCAAUGGCAUGCCCUAUCAACUGUGACAAUUAUUCAAAACUUUUGACCUAUCUCUAUACUGUGGUUUCUUCUAGACACUGUCACCAAAGGAAGUGCUCAGGGAAAGUCAUAUUCAUCUUUAUUUUGGCCCCCAAACUUCAUCUUCCCUGAUUGUAAGCCUGAUGACCCAGGCACAGGCUGCUUGUCUAAACUGCCUGACUGCACAUUACUGGGCUCAAGCAGCUGAGUCAUACUGAGCCUGUUAUGGCUCCAGAACUGACUCUGAAGCAGCUGAACUCUUAAAUGAGUGUGAAUCCAUAAAUAGAUGGCUGCCCUCUCCUCUAUCUAACUUCACUUAGCUGAAGGCUUAAACCACAGCCACGGAAGCAUGAGAGCAGGCUGUGUGCACUGCCUUAACAGCAGGCUCACAAAAAGGGCAAGCAGGAAAGCCUGUGGAUUAUUUCCCCAGAUAGUCUGAACUCCACGUCAUCCCCUCUUCUGGCAAACGCUUCAACCACAGUAUUGAAUAACAUGUCAUGUGAUGGACCCUUCACCAUGGAUACCAGGCCUCAUGUGCCUGUGAUUUACUGAGGUCUCUGACCACAAACUCGAGUCCUCCUUUAGCUACCUAUGGCUCCCUAAACCCUAUCCAAAAAAGGAAGGGGAGAUGAAGGCAAAUUAAUCCUUGUAUAGUUUUGGCAAGGCUUUUAAACUUGAGGAAGCACACAACAAUGUUGUUCUCUAUCAUUAUUUGGUAUAUCAAGCCAUCUAAAAGCACUGGAUUGCACUGUUUCUUUACUCAUAAAACAACUUACAAGGGUUUCAAACAUUUCUUUAAAGAAACACCACACAAGCACCAACUUCAUUAUGACUCAAAGCUUACUAUUUCCACAAAAUAAUUCUAUUCCUCAUCUGAGAAACAAGGCCAGGGCAAAAGGAAAUACACUGACCAAUUUUAGUGUUUGUUGAAACUCACAUUUCUAGUCUUUCAAGUUUUGGUACAGAAGUGUACAUUCAGCUACUACUGUCCUCCCCUUAGACCUUGGUCUGGCGAUGCUGCUUUGUUGGUUUUUGAACACAGUGCUUUAGAGGGAGGAGUUGGUGAAGAUGCUGAAGCCUAGAUUAUGUUGAUAAAAUUGAAGUAACAUCAACUGAAGGGGUCUUUUGCCUCCUUGGUUUAGAUUCUGAAAAUGUAAUCCCAUACCUCCCUAUUUUCCUUUGGUUGUUUUUCCCUCCAAACCAAAUCCCACUUUACCACAGAGCCAAAAUCGGCUCUUUAUUUGGGGGAAAGGGGAAGAGACUAUCAAAUCAAAACAACUCCCAGCAGAACUGUGACCUGCUGCAUUCUUAGGGUUGAGGACAAAGGGAUGUGGACUCUUCAGAAACUUCCAAAUAAAACCCCCACCCCAACCCACAACAAGCCUUAGCUGUUCUUUUAAAGGUGCCUGACAACAAACCCAAACCCCAUGAAACCAAUAUCUGCUUCCAGCUUAGUCCAUCAGUGCAGCAGCACAGCCGAGGCCAGAGACCCUGGGCCCCUCAUUUCUAAAUCCAAGCUACUGCUUGGCCUCUCCAUUUCACAUUCACAGAAUCACUUGUGCAAAACAAGCAGUCUACGUUGAAAGAAUGCCCUCAUCGUAGUCUAAUAAAAACCAUAGGAAAAAAACGGCUAGAGAGCGUGUCUCUUCCACUCUGCUUAUCUGCAGAGCGUAGGCAUCUGUGCAUGGACAGGGUAGGCGAGCCUGACGUUGAGGGAGUCGUUGUGCUGAACCAGGGAUGUCUGCUGGUAAUGGAGCACCAGCUCCUUCAGUGAGCUGUACAGGUUGUAGGGUUCUGCAAAGCCAUAUCCUCGAGCCGUGCUGUAGAUGACACAGUGCUUCACUUCCCC